rnacentral:rRNA from 1 species
GCUCAGAACGAACGCUGGCGGCGUGGCUAAGACAUGCAAGUCGAACGGACUGUCUCGAUGAGUAAUCUGAAAGACAGUUAGUGGCGAAAGGGUUAGUAAUGGAUAGGUAACGUACCCCGAGCUCCGGAAUAGCCAUUCGAAAGGGUGGGUAAUACCGGAUAAUACCAUGUGCCCCAAGGUAUAUGGUCAAAGAUUUAUCGGCACGGGAGCGGCCUGUCUCCCAUCAGUUUGUUGGUGAGGUAACGGCUCACCAAGGCAGCGACGGGUAGCGGGACUGAGAGGUUGACCCGCAACAUCGGGACUGAGACACUGCCCGGACCUCCACGGAGGGCUGCAGUAACGAAUAUUGCGCAAUGGGCGAAAGCCUGACGCAGCGACGCCGCGUGUAGGAUGAAGUCCCUCGGGAUGUAAACUACUGUCAGGGGUUAGAAAGUCCGGUUCGCCGGAUUGAUCGGCCCCAGAGGAAGUCACGGCUAACUUCGUGCCAGCAGCCGCGGUAAUACGAAGGUGGCUAGCGUUGUUCGGUGUCACUGGGCUUAAAGCGUGUGUAGGCGGAAAAGAAAGCGUUUUGUGAAAGCCCCCGGCUUAACCGGGGAACUGCAAGACGAACUGCUUUUCUUGAGGCAAGCAGGGGUGCGUGGAACUCUUGGUGGAGCGGUGGAAUGCGUAGAUAUCACGAGGAACGCCGGUGGUGAAGACGACGCACUGGGCUUGUCCUGACGCUGAGACACGAAAGCGUGGGGAGCGAACGGGAUUAGAUACCCCGGUAGUCCACGCCGUAAACGAUGUCUACUAGGUUGUGGG